rnacentral:ncRNA from 1 species
UUAAACGAGGAAGGAUUUGACUGAUUGCAAACCUCGAAAAAAAAAAUUGCUAAAGCAGUGUUG